rnacentral:tRNA from 1 species
GGCUUAUUAGUGUAGUGGUUAGCACGUGGGAUUUUGACUACAUUGAUCUUCCUGAGUCGCAGGUUCGAGCCCUGCAUAAGCCU